rnacentral:rRNA from 1 species
UGGGGAAUUUUGCACACUGGGGGAAACCCUGAUGCAGCGACGCCGCGUGAUUUAGAAGGCCUUCGGGUUGUAAAAAUCUUUUCUAUGGGAAGAAAAUGACAGUACCAUAGGAAUAAGGACCGGCUAAUUACGUGCCAGAAGCCGCGGUAAUACGUAAGGUCCGAGCGUUGUCCGGAAUCAUUGGGCGUAAAGGGUACGUAGGCGGGUAAGAAAGUUAGAAGUGAAAUCCUAUAGCUCAACAAUAGUAAGCUUUUAAGACUGCUCAUCGUGAGGUAUGGAAGGGAAGGUGGAAUUCCUAGUGUGGCGGUGAAAUGCGCAGAUAUUAGGAGGAAUACCGGGAGCGAAGGCGACUUUCUGGCCAUAACCUGACGCUGAGGUACGAAAGCGUGGGUAGCAAACAGG